UACGUAGGGGGCUAGCGUUGUCCGGAAUCAUUGGGCGUAAAGAGCGCGUAGGCGGCCAGAUAAGUCCGGUGUGAAAGUCACAGGCUCAACCUGUGAAUGCCGCUGGAAACUGUCUGGCUAGAGUCCGGAAGGGGCGAGUGGAAUUCCUGGUGUAGCGGUGAAAUGCGCAGAUAUCAGGAGGAACACCGAUGGCGAAGGCAGUGGUCUGGGCCGAUACUGACGCUGAGGAGCGAAAGCGUGGGGAGCGAACAGG
rnacentral:rRNA from 1 species